GAAACGAAAACCUGAAACGAGCGGCAACGAAGAUCUCGCGUUUCUGAAGGUACGAACGUUGGGUCUACGGAAGCGAAAGUGAAAGUGGCUCGUCCGGCCUCGGUGUCGAGCAUCGUUUCGACUGUGGAAGCGGAAGAUCGUCUAUCUAGGGUCGCAUAGGCCGCGCCAGUGGUAGCCGUCUAGUGCUCGGGCGGGGACACCGGGCCUAGGUAUGCGCAUGCGGGCAGGAGCAGAGGUGCGCGUGGCGGAAAGGGAGGAGGGGCCGGCCGGAGGGAGGAGGAGUUCAUGGUUUAGCCGGCAGCGCGAGAGGUGGUGGUGGUGUCGGUGGAGGGGGAGGGGAGGAACGCGGCAGCGCAGUCGGAGCAUCGGCUCAGCUGCAGCUGCUGCGCGCGCGGGUGGGUGUUGACGACCCGCGGUACGACGUCCGCCCGAGCCUCGCACGCCGCGGCGAGGGCCCGCGCCGCUCCGACACCCACGGCCCCUACUCGGGGCACCGCCGCCUGCCCCGCCCCCGCAGCCGGUCCCGCGCCCUCUAGCGCGCCUCCGCCCUGCUCUACGAGCCGUACGACGCGCUGGAGGGGCUCCGGCUGAUGCUCGAUAGGGAGUGGCUGGAGCAGCUGUUCUGGCGGCGCGGGCCCCGGUUGCCUACGCACGGCGGGAACGGGAACGGCCAGCUCUCCUUUCUCCGCUCGGGCUCGGGGAACCCAGACCGGCUCAGGCCGCCCGUCCGGCUCGGCGUCGGCGUCGUCGUCGGCCGCUCCCGCUGCCUCUCCUUCCCGAGGCGGAGGCGCUCCGCCGCGCCCCUGCCGCCGUCGCCCCCGCCCUCGCCCUCGCCGGAGGCGUCGUCGUCGCUGCCGCAGGACGAGUUGAAGAUGUACGGCGCGAGGAAGUGGGCGUCGAAGUGGCGCGGCGCGGGGGGGGCGUGGGGGAGGAAGAGGUGGAGGCCGGCCCGGCGGUCGCGGCAGCGGGGGCUGCUGACGUUGUUCUCCCUCUCUCUGCCGCUGUGCCAGUCCACGACCGGCGACGGCACCCUGGCCGCCACCGCGUUCAGCUCGGCCAGUUAUACAAGAGAGUGGUCUAUUUUACCCUCUUUCCAGGUGCACCCCACCAGUUUUAAAUAGGCGCCUUUCCACUAUAGACCCGAAACAUGGCUUUAACCAGGGGACUGACCUUACCUCUAUGAGGACUAUUACACGAAGUACAAAUACUAGACCAACUCCAUGUCCUACUAAUACUACUUCUAUUACCUUAAAGACAGUAAGGGAACUAAUUCGAGUGACCUAAAGCUUGUCAAAAGGUCGUAGUAGUCCUGGCCCUACGGUAGUUCUCCUAAGGUUUCCCUCUCUACAAAGCCAAAAGUGUAGUCCAAGGGAAAAUGUCCUACAGUCCCCUUCUUCGAGGUUUACAGGGAUUUCCAUCGAAACUCCAUCUAGGUCGACGAUAGAGAUUUCUUGAAGAAGUCCCUUAGUGACUUUGACACUUCCUCCGUCUCCCUUGAAGAUUUACGACUAAUUUUGUCAACUACGACUGAGCCAAUACGGAAACAACUGGACGGCAAAACUUAGUUUAUAAACAACUGUAGACGAUCAAAGAUAUCAAAGGAUCGGAGAUGAUGAAAACUGAUAGUGGAAACAUAUGUCAACAACCAGACCCCGAUCGGUAAGGAUUUAGUAGAACAUACCGUAGACCCGUACACAGAACAGUAGAGUUUUGAAUUUGUCACUACGACUAUUACACUCAAUCUCUGUAUCAGUAAAACAUACAGUGUUUUUGAACCUUCACGACUAUGAAGAUGUUAUACAACAAAAUAGAGAUCGACAUACUCUUACUUCCAAAACGAUAAAAUAGACCAACGAGUUGUAUGGUGAACCAAUUGUAAUACCUACCAAACCUAGCCAUGAGGUGCUUGUAGGAAAAGGUCCAACAAUGGUCGUCAUGACUAUAAACAC
rnacentral:rRNA from 1 species